UACGUAGGUGGCGAGCGUUGUCCGGAAUUACUGGGUGUAAAGGGAGCGCAGACGGAACUGCAAGUCUGAUGUGAAAGCCCGGGGCUCAACCGCGGGACUGCAUUGGAAACUGUAGAUCUGGAGUGCCGGAGGGGCAAGCGGAAUUCCUGGUGUAGCGGUGAAAUGCGUAGAUAUUCGGAGGAACACCAGUGGCGAAGGCGGCUUCCUGGUCUGUAACUGACACUGAGGCGCGAAAGCGUGGGGAGCAAACAGGAUUAGAUACCCCCGUAGU
rnacentral:rRNA from 1 species